rnacentral:rRNA from 1 species
UUUCCUACGGGAGGCUGCAGUGGGGAAUAUUGCGCAAUGGGGGAAACCCUGACGCAGCGACGCCGCGUGGGUGAUGAAGGCCUUCGGGUCGUAAAGCCCUGUCGGAGGGGAAGAAGGACUCUCGUGCAAAUAGUUCGAGGGUUUGACGGUACCCUUAGAGGAAGCACCGGCUAACUCCGUUCCAGCAGCCGCGGUAAUACGGAGGGUGCAAGCGUUGCUCGGAAUUACUGGGCGUAAAGGGCGUGUAGGCGGUUUCGUAUGUCUGGCGUGAAAGCCCCGGGCUCACCUCGGGAAGUGCGUCGGAAACUGCGAGUCUAGCGUCCCGGAGAGGGAGGUGGAAUUCCAGGUGUAGCGGUGAAAUGCGUAGAUAUCUGGAAGAACACCGGUGGCGAAAGCGGCCUCCUGGACGGUGACUGACGCUGAGACGCGAAAGCGUGGGGAGCAAACAGGAUUAGAUACCCUAGUAGUC